rnacentral:rRNA from 1 species
UACAGAGGCCUCGAGCGUUAGGCGGAAUCACUGGGCUUAAAGCGUGUGUAGGCGGACUUCUAAGUGCCUUGUGAAAUCCCACGGCUCACCCGUGGAACUGCUGGGCAUACUGGUCGUCUUGAGCCACCUAGGGGCUGCCGGAACAAAUGGUGGAGCGGUGAAAUGCGUAGAUAUCCGGAGGAAUACCAAAGGCGAAGGCAGUGUCCUGGAGGGUGACUGACGCUGAGGCGCGAAAGCUAGGGGAGCGAACAGG